CUCAUUAGCUUACGGUGUUCAUUAUUAUUAUUAGCACUCAUUAGCAAAGUGAACGGACUCUUAGCCACCGCGUGGCUAACUCGGCUUGCUCCGAAGGCUUUAGCUCGUCGUUGUCGACGUGGAAACCUCGAGGGAUUGCGAGACUGCCCAGUUAACGCUGAGAGCUUCCUCUGCUUCGCGGGAGAGACCACACGCCAUCCCUGGACAUCGGUCCGCCACCUUGAUCUUCGUCACGGGAGACCUGAGGGACUGGUGACGUCAUCAGCUGCCGAGGCCACGCGCCGUCUCCGGACACCUGCCUGCGUCUCGUUCUUCAUCCGGGGGACCAAGUCACAUUUUACAAGCUGAAUUCCCCCCUCCUCAACAAUUGGACUGCAUCAGUUCCUGCUAUCUCCCCGCUCGAAGAAGGUGGCAAGUGAGCUGAGAAGGGGCCAGCCUGUGCAGGGGCAUUUGGAUGGGGGAAGGGCAUGUCUGCUGGCAACGAGGGUGAGUAGA
rnacentral:lncRNA from 1 species